rnacentral:rRNA from 1 species
UACAGAGGUCCCAAGCGUUGUUCGGAUUCAUUGGGCGUAAAGGGUGCGUAGGUGGCGCUGUAAGUCGGGUGUGAAAUUUCGGAGCUUAACUCCGAAACUGCAUUCGAUACUGCGGUGCUUGAGGACUGGAGAGGAGACUGGAAUUCAUGGUGUAGCAGUGAAAUGCGUAGAGAUCAUGAGGAAGACCAGUGGCGAAGGCGGGUCUCUGGACAGUUCCUGACACUGAGACACGAAGGCCAGGGGAGCAAACGGG